CAUUAAGAAGCUAUAUAGCAUUAACCUUUUAAGUUAAAGAUUGGGAGUUUAAAUCUCCCCUUAAUGA
rnacentral:tRNA from 1 species